ACGGAAGGCAGCAGUGAGGAAUAUUGGUCAAUGGGCGGGAGCCUGAACCAGCCAAGUAGCGUGAGGGAUGACGGCCCUAUGGGUUGUAAACCUCUUUUGACAGGGAAUAGAGUGAGCCACGUGUGGUUCAUUGCAUGUACCUGUGGAAUAAGGAUCGGCUAACUCCGUGCCAGCAGCCGCGGUAAUACGGAGGAUCCGAGCGUUAUCCGGAUUUAUUGGGUUUAAAGGGAGCGUAGGCGGGAUGUCAAGUCAGCUGUGAAAUGUCGUCGCUCAACGUCUGCACUGCAGUUGAAACUGGUGUCCUUGAGUGCGUAAGAGGCAGGUGGAAUUCGUCGUGUAGCGGUGAAAUGCAUAGAUAUGACGAAGAACUCCGAUUGCGAAGGCAGCCUGCUGGGCCGCUACUGACGCUGAAGCUCGAAGGUGCGGGUAUCAAACAGGAUUAGAUACCCUGGUA
rnacentral:rRNA from 1 species